rnacentral:rRNA from 1 species
GACGGAGGAUGCAAGCGUUAUCCGGAAUGAUUGGGCGUAAAGCGUCCGCAGGUGGCAGUUCAAGUCUGCUGUCAAAGACCGGGGCUUAACUUCGGAAAGGCAGUGGAAACUGAACAGCUAGAGUAUGGUAGGGGCAGAGGGAAUUCCUGGUGUAGCGGUGAAAUGCGUAGAGAUCAGGAAGAACAUCGGUGGCGAAGGCGCUCUGCUGGACCAUAACUGACACUCAGGGACGAAAGCUAGGGGAGCGAAUGAG